rnacentral:rRNA from 1 species
CCCGCUGAACUUAAGCAUAUCAAUAAGCGGAGGAAAAGAAACUAACAAGGAUUCCCUUAGUAACUGCGAGUGAAGUGGGAAAAGCUCAAAUUUAGAAUCUGGCAGUCACUUGGCUGUCCGAGUUGUAAUCUAGAGAAGUGUUGCCCGUGCUGGACCAUGUACAAGUCUCCUGGAAUGGAGCAUCACAGAGGGUGAGAAUCCUGUCUUUGACAUGGACUGCCAGUGCUUUUGUGGUAUGCUCUCAAAGAGUCGAGUUGUUUGGGAAUGCAGCUCAAAAUGGGUGGUAAAUGCCAUCUAAAGCUAAAUAUUGGCGAGAGACCGAUAGUGAACAAGUACCGUGAGGGAAAGAUGAAAAGAACUUUGGAAAGAGAGUUAAACAGUACGUGAAAUUGUUGAAAGGGAAACGCUUGAAGUCAGUCGCGUUGUCCAGAAAUCAACCUUGCUUCUGCCUGGUGUACUUUUUGGUCAACGGGUCAGCAUCAAUUUUGACCGGUGGAUAAAGGUCAGGGGAAUGUGGCAUUUUUAUUGAAUGUGUUAUAGCCCUUGGUUGCAUACAUCGGUUGGGAUUGAGGAACUCAGCAUGCCGCAAGGCCGGGUCUUUUGAUCGCGUACAUGCUUAGGAUGCUGGCAUAAUGGCUUUAAUCGACCCGUCUUGAAACACGG